CUAGUUGGUGAGGUAACGGCUCACCAAGGCCACGAUGACUAGGGGGUCUGAGAGGAUGAUCCCCCACACUGGUACUGAGACACGGACCAGACUCCUACGGGGAGGCAGCAGUGAGGAAUAUUGGGCAAUGGACGCAAGUCUGACCCAGCCAUGCCGCGUGCAGGAUGACUGCCCUAUGGGUUGUAAACUGCUUUUGUUUGGGAAGAAACCCCCGAUCGUGAUCGGGGCUGACGGUACCAUACGAAUAAGCAUCGGCUAACUCCGUGCCAGCAGCCGCGGUAAUACGGAGGAUGCAAGCGUUAUCCGGAUUCAUUGGGUUUAAAGGGUGCGCAGGCGGAAUAUUAAGUCAGUGGUGAAAUCCUGCAGCUUAACUGUAGAACUGCCAUUGAUACUGAUAUUCUUGAAUAUAGUUGAGGUGGGCGGAAUGUGUAAUGUAGCGGUGAAAUGCUUAGAUAUUACACAGAACACCAAUUGCGAAGGCAGCUCACUAAACUAAUAUUGACGCUGAGGCACGAAAGCGUGGGUAGCAAACAGGAUUAGAUACCCUGGUAGUCCACGCUGUAAACUAUGAUCACUCGCUGUUGGCAAUACAUCGUCAGCGGCUGAGCGAAAGCAUUAAGUGAUCCACCUGGGGAGUACGGUCGCAAGAUUGAAACUCAAAGGAAUUGACGGGGGCCCGCACAAGCGGAGGAACAUGUGGUUUAAUUCGAUGAUACGCGAGGAACCUUACCUGGGCUUAAAUGCAGAGCGACGUCCGCCGAAAGGUGGAUUCCUUCGGGCGAUCUGCAAGGUGCUGCAUGGUUGUCGUCAGCUCGUGCCGUGAGGUGUCGGGUUAAGUCCCAUAACGAGCGCAACCCUUAUCGUUAGUUGCCAGCGGGUAAUGCCGGGGACUCUAACGAAACUGCCGGUGUCAACCGUGAGGAAGGUGGGGAUGACGUCAAAUCAGCACGGCCCUUAUGUCCAGGGCUACACACGUGUUACAAUGGUCGGUACAGAGGGCAGCUACCACGCAAGUGGAUGCUAAUCUCGAAAACCGGUCUCAGUUCGGAUUGAAGUCUGCAACUCGACUUCAUGAAGCUGGAUUCGCUAGUAAUCGCGCAUCAGCCAUGGCGCGGUGAAUACGUUCCCGGGCAUGUACACACCGCCCGUCAAGCCAUGAAGCUUGG
rnacentral:rRNA from 1 species